AACUGAAUUUGAAGAAAGAGAUGACGUAAACCCUCAAAAUCCAACUCUAGAUCCUUCAGAUACAACAACAAAGAGCGGUGAGAGUAAAUGGGGAGCUUUGGGGCAUACCCUUAAAUCUCGGAACACUGAAUUGUAUCAAGAGAGCAUUCUCAAUGGAUCCCUAGGCAUUCGCAGUUU
rnacentral:lncRNA from 1 species